ACAGUUGGGGAAAGAGAUUAAGGAAGAGAUGAUGCUGUUGGCUCCAGGCAGUGACUCAAGAAGGCAUUCUUGGUGAAAGAAGAAAGACCUUUCUCGGGAUCAACCAGAGAAAGCAAGAGAUGAACCCUAAUCAAUCACGCAAGAUGCCCCACUUCUCGUUAGCUGGCUCCAGCUUCUCCAGGACAACAGCACCCAAUCAGGGCACACUGAAACCUUCCCUUUUUCCCACUUGAUAGGUUUUUCCACUCCUCUUCCUGCUUUUGAGUCUCUUGCAGAAUGAGGAGUUGGUGUUUGACUCCCUUGCUAUAGCAAGCUUAGAAUAAAUAGCUUUUGCUUUUCUCA